GGCCCUACGGGGGGCAGCAGUGGGGAAUAUCGCACAAUGGGGGAAACCCUGAUGCAGCGACGCCGCGUGAGUGAAGAAGUAUCUCGGUAUGUAAAGCUCUAUCAGCAGGAAAGAUAAUGACGGUACCUGACUAAGAAGCCCCGGCUAACUACGUGCCAGCAGCCGCGGUAAUACGUAGGGGGCAAGCGUUAUCCGGAUUUACUGGGUGUAAAGGGAGCGUAGACGGCAGCGCAAGUCUGGAGUGAAAUGCCGGGGCCCAACCCCGGGACUGCUCUUGGAACUGCGUGGCUGGAGUGCAGGAGGGG
rnacentral:rRNA from 1 species